AGCAGUCGAGCGAAUGGAUUAAGAGCUUGCUCUUAUGAAGUUAGCGGCGGACGGGUGAGUAACACGUGGGUAACCUGCCCAUAAGACUGGGAUAACUCCGGGAAACCGGGGCUAAUACCGGAUAACAUUUUGAACCGCAUGGUUCGAAAUUGAAAGGCGGCUUCGGCUGUCACUUAUGGAUGGACCCGCGUCGCAUUAGCUAGUUGGUGAGGUAACGGCUCACCAAGGCAACGAUGCGUAGCCGACCUGAGAGGGUGAUCGGCCACACUGGGACUGAGACACGGCCCAGACUCCUACGGGAGGCAGCAGUAGGGAAUCUUCCGCAAUGGACGAAAGUCUGACGGAGCAACGCCGCGUGAGUGAUGAAGGCUUUCGGGUCGUAAAACUCUGUUGUUAGGGUAUAACAAGUGCUAGUUGAAUAAGCUGGCACCUUGACGGGACCUAACCAGAACGCCACGGCUAACUACGU
rnacentral:rRNA from 1 species